GCUUUCAGAUGAACCACCUUCAGGGUACAUAUGAAAGCACGACAUUGCUCACAUUGCUUCCAGUGUUUACUUUAGCCAGCCGGGUGCUGGCUUUU
rnacentral:misc_RNA from 1 species